rnacentral:rRNA from 1 species
GACGAACGCUGGCGGCGUGCUUAACACAUGCAAGUCGAACGGAAAGGCCUGCUUUCCCUUGUGGAUUGCGGGUACUCGAGUGGCGAACGGGUGAGUAACACGUGAGUGAUCUGCCCCCAACUUGGGUAUAAGCCUGGGAAACUGGGUCUAAUUCCCGAUAGGACUGCAGGGUGGUGCCUGUGGUGGAAAACGAUUUUCUAGUGGUUGGGGAUGAGCCCGCGGCCUAUCAGCUUGUUGGUGGGGUAAUGGCCUACCAAGGCGGCGACGGGUAGCCGGCCUGAGAGGGUGGACGGCCGCAUUGAGACUGAGAUACGGCCCAGACUCCUACGGGAGGCAGCGGUGGUGAAUCUUGGGCAAUGGGCGGAAGCCUGAUGCGGCGACGCCGCGGGGGGGAUGACGGCCUUCGGGUUGUAAACUCCUUUCGACCGGGAGGAAGCCACCUGGUUGGAAGGGUGGUGACGGUAGUGGUAGAAGAAGCGCCGGCUAACUACGUG